ensembl:misc_RNA Metazoa_SRP Metazoan signal recognition particle RNA
GCUGGGUGUGGUGGCGCAUGCCUGUAAUCCCAGCUACUUGGGAGGCUGAGGCACGAGAAUCACUUGAACCCAGGAGAUGGAGGUUGCAGUGAGCCGAGAUCGCGCUACUGCACUCCAGCCUGGGUGACAGAGUGAGACUCCGUCUCUC